GACGAACGCUGGCGGCGUGCUUAACACAUGCAAGUCGAACGCUGAAGCUCAGCUUUUGUUGGGUGGAUGAGUGGCGAACGGGUGAGUAACACGUGAGUAACCUGCCUCCUUCUUUGGGAUAGCGCCCGGAAACGGGUGCUAAUACUGGAUAUUCACUGGUCUUCGCAUGGGGGUUGGUGGAAAGGGUUUUUCUGGUGGGGGAUGGGCUCGCGGCCUAUCAGCUUGUUGGUGGGGUGAUGGCCUACCAAGGCUUUGACGGGUAGCCGGCCUGAGAGGGUGACCGGUCACAUUGGGACUGAGAUACGGCCCAGACUCCUACGGGAGGCAGCAGUGGGGGAUAUUGCACAAUGGGCGCAAGCCUGAUGCAGCGACGCCGCGUGAGGGAUGGAGGCCUUCGGGUUGUGAACCUCUUUCGCUCAUGGUCAAGCCGCAACAAUGGUUGUGGUGAGGGUAGUGGGUAAAGAAGCGCCGGCUAACUACGUG
rnacentral:rRNA from 1 species